ensembl:lncRNA
CUAUUCUCCAGUGUAGCAAACAAAACAAUAAAAAAAUAUUUAGGGCCCAUCAUUGGUAACUCUAUUCAAGUGUGGAAGAAAGCAGAAUGGUGGAUGGGUGGUCCACCAAAAGUCUGUCAGAACAUGCCACUAUGGCAUAACCGGAAUUUAUUAUGUGGCAACAAACCAUUCAAUCAACCAUCUUGGUCAUCCCUUGGGGUGAAUACAUUAGGUGAUAUAUAUAUAUGAUACUAGAGGUCUUUGCUCCAUUCAAGAUUUAAGAACACGCUUUUCCCUUCCUGUGUCCUCUUAUUUUGUUUACUUUCAGCUAAGAUCAGCCUUAAAAAGGUAUGGAGUUCCAUGGAAUUCUCCUCUCCCCACACAUCCCAUGUUACAAUGGAUUGCACCAUUACUGGGCCCCAUCCGUAGCGUGGAUCUGAAGUUUGUAGAUACCAGCUAAUCCUGCCAAAGACGAAGGCAGGGCGGAGCCUACCCCCCGCAUGGAUAGGGCCAACCUGGUGGUGGUGGGGAGGAUGAAGGGAAAUGACAGCGGCAGUAUCUGCAAACACAAUAGGAUGUGAGUAGUGUGCUUUUAUAUCCAUCGUGUUGAGAGCCAAUUGGCUAGACCUUAAUUGUAAUGUGACAUUUAGUCUUCCUAGUAGAACUUACGCUUACAUUUCUACCAGAAAGACUCAGGAGGUAGAGAUAAGACUGAAGUAUUUAUUUACAAAAACACAAAAAAUAGAAUUAUUUUGGCGUAGGCCCCAUCCGUAGCGUGGAUCUGAAGUUUGUAGAUACCAGCUAAUCCUGCCGAAGACGAAGGCAGGGCGGAGUACCUUGAGCAUUACGUGAAAUAGAGUCUGAUCUUGACGGACAUCCGAUGAGGAGGAUCAUGUACAUAGCAGCCUGAUGGCAAAUUACAGGAAUUCUAAACCACCUCAUUGAGUUAGAAAGGUGAUUAGGUUAAUUGAUAAGAGGUAGAAUUAGGGUUCUAGCAGACAUAAGAGCAUAUACACAGAUACAAUUCUUUAGGCUAGACUCCUGCGGACUCUUAAUAAAACUCCAUCUAACUGCCAGAAACUGCAGAGGAAACCUACCCCCCCCCACCAAAAAAUAGAAAAUGAGCCAGAUCAGCAUGACCAUAAAAAGAGAUACUCAAUUUAAGCAAAGUCACUGUGACAUGUGAAGGCCACAAUAGGCCAAACUCCAUAAACUGUAAUGGACAACGUCCCUGAUGACCACCAUAGCAGAGUUAUGCAAAGUGCCUCAGCAGUCUGUGUAAGGUGAAGGCAGCAACAGCCGGGUAAGACCAAAUAAGCCUCGAUUAUAACUUAGUCUGCAUGAAAUCAAAAUUGACUUUACUAGCGCACACGGCUAGUAUUGAUGUAAACAAUCUGUGCAAGUUAAUCCGCUGAAAAAGAAAAAAGAAAUAAUCUUCUUUGUAAUCCUUAAUCAAAAUCUGAACAUUUACUUCCGCUGUGGAAUGGCAUUCCUUUUCUAAUGACUUCAGUUUGACGGGAUGGGCAGAAUAUCCUUAAACACA